UCCGUUGUCGUCAAGCGGUUAGGAUAUUUGGCUUUCACCCAGGAGUCCCGGGUUUGAUUCCCAGCAACGGAA